GUAGUCAUAUGCUUGUCUCAAAGAUUAAGCCAUGCAUGUCUAAGUAUAAGCAAUUAUACCGUGAAACUGCGAAUGGCUCAUUAAAUCAGUUAUCGUUUAUUUGGUAGUACCUUACUACUUGGAUAACCGUGGUAAUUCUAGAGCUAAUACAUGCUGAAAACCCCAACUUCGGAAGGGGUGUAUUUAUUAGAUAAAAAACCAAUGCCCUUCGGGGCUCCUUGGUGAUUCAUAAUAACUUCUCAGAUCGCAUGGCCUUGCGCCGGCGACGGUUCAUUCAAAUUUCUGCCCUAUCAACUUUCGAUGGUAAGGUAUUGGCUUACCAUGGUUUCAACGGGUAACGGGGAAUUAGGGUUCGAUUCCGGAGAGGGAGCCUGAGAAACGGCUACCACAUCCAAGGAAGGCAGCAGGCGCGCAAAUUACCCAAUCCCGACACGGGGAGGUAGUGACAAUAAAUACUGAUACAGGGCUCUUUUGGGUCUUGUAAUUGGAAUGAGUACAAUUUAAACCUCUUAACGAGGAACAAUUGGGGGGCAAGUCUGGUGCCAGCAGCC
rnacentral:rRNA from 1 species